rnacentral:rRNA from 1 species
GACGAACGCUGGCGGCGUGCUUAACACAUGCAAGUCGAGCGGUAAGGCCCUUUCGGGGGUACGACGAGCGGCGAACGGGUGAGUAACACGUGGGUGACCUGCCCUUAGCUCUGGGAUAAGCCUGGGAAACUGGGUCUAAUACCGGAUAUGACUCCAUGACGCAUGUUGUGGGGUGGAAAGCCUUGUGCGGCUAGGGAUGGGCCCGCGGCCUAUCAGCUUGUUGGUGGGGUGAUGGCCUACCAAGGCGACGACGGGUAGCCGGCCUGAGAGGGCGACCGGCCACACUGGGACUGAGACACGGCCCAGACUCCUACGGGAGGCAGCAGUGGGGAAUAUUGGACAAUGGCGCAAGCCUGAUCCAGCGAUGCCGCGUGUGUGAAGAAGGCCUGCGGGUUGUAAAGCACUUUC